ACCCGACUGCUAUCAGAGUGGGAUUAAGCCAUGCGAGUUAACGUAGCAAUACGUGGCAUACGGCUCAGUAACACGUAGUCAACAUGCCCAGGGGACGUGGAUAACCUCGGGAAACUGAGGAUAAACCGCGAUAGGCCAAGAUUUCUGGAAUGAAUCAUGGUUUAAAUCUAUAUGGCCCCUGGAUUGGACUGCGGCCGAUCAGGCUGUUGGUGAGGUAAUGGCCCACCAAACCUGUUACCGGUACGGGCUCUGAGAGGAGGAGCCCGGAGAUGGGCACUGAGACAAGGGCCCAGGCCCUAUGGGGCGCAGCAGGCGCGAAACCUCUGCAAUAGGCGAAAGCUUGACAGGGUUACUCUGAGUGAUUCCCGCUAAGGGAAUCUUUUGGCAUCUCUAAAAACGAUGCAGAAUAAGGGGUGGGCAAGUCUGGUGUCAGCCGCCGCGGUAAUACCAGCACCCCGAGUGGUCGGGACGAUUAUUGGGCCUAAAGCAUCCGUAGCCGGUCUUGCAAGUCUUCCGUUAAAUCCACCUGCUUAACAGAUGGGCUGCGGAAGAUACUACAAGACUAGGAGGCGGGAGAGGCAAGCGGUACUCAGUGGGUAGGGGUAAAAUCCUCUGAUCCAUUGAAGACCACCAGUGGCGAAGGCGGCUUGCCAGAACGCGCUCGACGGUGAGGGAUGAAAGCUGGGGGAGCAAACCGGAUUAGAUACCCGGGUAGUCCCAGCUGUAAACGAUGCAGACUCGGUGAUGGGCCGGCUUCAUGCCGGCUCAGUGCCGCAGGGAAGCCGUUAAGUCUGCCGCCUGGGGAGUACGGUCGCAAGACUGAAACUUAAAGGAAUUGGCGGGGGAGCACCACAAGGGGUGAAGCCUGCGGUUC
rnacentral:rRNA from 1 species